UCUGUCGCUCUAUGCUUGUCAUAAAGAGGAAAGUCCGGGCAACGCAGAGCAUCGCAUUUUCUAACGGAAAGCCGGCGGCGACGUCGGGGAUAAGGUGACAGAAAAUGACCGCCUCGAGGUCAACGGGCCCGGGGUAAGGGUGAAAAGGUGGGGUAAGAGCCCACCGGUCGAUAUGGCGACAUAUCGAGCCGCACUUCCUGCGAGUUGCAAGGUCAAAUAUACCGGCAUCUAAGGGCUGCUCGUCCAUUGUCGGGGGGUAGACUGCUAUAGCGCGCCGUGCAAGCGGCCGCAAAGAUAAAUGACAGACACUCCAUAAUAACAAGGAGCACAUAACCCGGCUUAUAUCA
rnacentral:RNase_P_RNA from 1 species